UUUCAGCUCUUCUCAACCUUGUUGCCUUUCUACCAAAGACUUUUGAUGACAACAUGAAGGUGGGGGGCUUCCUCUUCCUGGUGAUGCUCAUCACCCUCAGCUUGGAGGUACAGGAGCUCCAGGCUGCGGUGAGACCACUGAGAUUGUUGGGUAGCUGCGUGGAGGCCUGCCGUGGCGACUGGGAUUGUGAUCUAGGAGAACGCUGUGUCAGCAACGGGUGUGGCCAUGCCUGUGCUCCAGCCUGAGGACAGAUGAAGAUUUACCUUAAAGGUCAUCCUUCUCUAAUAAUUUCUCAUCACUUCCUAUCUUCAAAUAUGUGACUGGAACUCCUUGCUCAGGAAGACAAAAGAAAAUGGGGACCUGUGGAUGGAGAUUGCAUGUGGUGGGGAAGGAGAAAGGGUCAUUUCUUUCAAUAAAUCAUCAUUGUUAAGAAGUA